UGUUGGAUAGUACAGUGGUAACACUGCCGCCCUUCACACGGGAGACCAGGGUUCGAAUCACGGUGGCGUAU